rnacentral:rRNA from 1 species
ACAGCAGUCGCCGCGGGAAUACCGAGGGUGCAAGCGUUAAUCGGAAUUACUGGGCGUAAAGCGCGCGUAGGUGGUUUGUUAAGUUGGAUGUGAAAUCCCCGGGCUCAACCUGGGAACUGCAUCCAAAACUGGCAAGCUAGAGUAUGGUAGAGGGUGGUGGAAUUUCCUGUGUAGCGGUGAAAUGCGUAGAUAUAGGAAGGAACACCAGUGGCGAAGGCGACCACCUGGACUGAUACUGACACUGAGGUGCGAAAGCGUGGGGAGCAAACAGGAUUAGAUACCCCGGUAGUCCCUGUCUCUUAUAA